CACGUAGUUAGCCGGGGCUUCUUAGUCAGGUACCGUCAUUAUCUUCCCUGCUGAUAGAGCUUUACAUACCGAAAUACUUCUUCACUCACGCGGCGUCGCUGCAUCAGGGUUUCCCCCAUUAUGCAAUAUUCCCCACUGCUGCCUCCCGUAGGAGUCUGGGCCGUGUCUCAGUCCCAAUGUGGCCGUUCACUCUCUCAAGCCGGCUACUGAUCGUCGCCUUGGUAGGCCGUUACCCUGCCAACUAGCUAAUCAGACGCGGGUCCGUCUCACAGCGAUAAAUCUUUGAAGGAACCUUCAUGCGGAGAUCCCUUGUUAUGCGGUAUUAGCAGCCGUUUCCGGCUGUUGUCCCCCUCUGUGAGGCAGGUUACCCACGCGUUACUCACCCGUCCGCCACUCAGUCAUUACCAUCUUCCCUCCGAAAAGUUCCGUCGGUAGCGCUUCGUUCGACUUGCAUGUGUUAAGCACGCCGCCAGCGUCAUCUCGUAGCCAGAGUCAAACUACUA
rnacentral:rRNA from 1 species